UGCGGGGUCGUCUAAUGGUAGGACAGGUCCCCUUGGAGGAUCUGAUCUUGGUUCGAGUCCAAGCCCCGCAGCAA
rnacentral:tRNA from 1 species